rnacentral:tmRNA from 1 species
GGGGGUGAUCGGUUUCGACGGUGGUCGUGCUUCGAGGAGAAGCGGGCCGAGGAUGCAGACUUAUCUCGUAAACGAUGUCUGCAAAACAAUAGGUGCCGAUUCCAAGCGCACCGACUUCGCACUCGCCGCCUGAGCGAGUCCUGAAGUCCGUAAGCCCGGGGUAGCUUCCGCCUCGGUUCCUUGCGUCAUCUAGGGAGCCACUGCUUGUAGCGUUCGUCGUUGACGCUGCAGGGACUCUAAGACGACUGGGCCUGUCAGCUACGUGUCUGCGCGAGUGCUGAGGCCGAGAAAAUCCGCAGCAGACUGCGCCCGGAGAAGUCCUGGAUUUGCGCCACCGGACCGGGGUUCGAUUCCCCGCACCUCCACCA